rnacentral:rRNA from 1 species
UACGAAGGGGGCUAGCGUUGCUCGGAAUCACUGGGCGUAAAGGGUGCGUAGGCGGGUCUUUAAGUCAGGGGUGAAAUCCUGGAGCUCAACUCCAGAACUGCCUUUGAUACUGAGGAUCUUGAGUUCGGGAGAGGUGAGUGGAACUGCGAGUGUAGAGGUGAAAUUCGUAGAUAUUCGCAAGAACACCAGUGGCGAAGGGCGGCUCACUGGCCCGAUACUGACGCCUGAGGCACGAAAGCGUGGGG